GAAAUGCGAUACGUAGUGUGAAUUGCAGAAUACCGUGAAUCAUCGAAUCUUUGAACGCAUAUUGCGCUCGAGGCCUCGGCCGAGAGCAUGUCUGCCUCAGCGUCGGGUUAAUAUCGCCCCCUCUACUCCCUAGGAGUGUGAACGGAGCGGACCUGGCCGUUCCACCGCAUUUGUACUUGUGCAAUACGCAGUGGAUUGGCUGAAGAAUAGAGGCUAGCUCAAGGACCCGUCAUGGGCCGCAUCUGGGUAGGCAGCUUCGGCUCCAUUUCUAGAUGUUGGCUUGGGACUUUGUCGGCUUGGCCCUCAACCAGGAACCCACUUAUUUUCUCGACCUGAGCUCAGGCAAGAACACCCGCUGAACUUAA
rnacentral:misc_RNA from 1 species